GGAUUGCUGUUCCCCGUUGAGGUCGGCUGUAGAGGAUUCCCUGCACAGUCAGAAUGGAGAAUGCUAACAGACAUAGGGAUGACAGGGAUUGCUGUUCCCCGUUGAGGUCGGCUGUAGAGGAUUCCCUGCACAGUCAGUAUGGAGAAUGCUCACAGACAUAGGGAUGACAGGGAUAGCUGUUCCCCGUUGAGGUCGGCUGUAGAGGAUUCCCUGCACAGUAAGAAUGGAGAAUGCUAACAGCCAUAGGGAUGACAGGGAUAGCUGUUCCCCGUUGAGGUCGGCUGUAGAGGAUUCCCUGCACAGUCAGUAUGGAGAAUGCUCACAGACAUAGGGAUGACAGGGAUUGCUGUUCCCCGUUGAGGUUGGCUGUAGAGGAUUCCCUGCACAGUCAGUAUGGAGAAUGCUCACAGACAUAGGGAUGACAGGGAUAGCUGUUCCCCGUUGAGGUCGGCUGUAGAGGAUUCCCUGCACAGUCAGUAUGGAGAAUGCUCACAGACAUAGGGAUGACAGGGAUUGCUGUUCCCCGUUGAGGUCGGCUGUAGAGGAUUCCCUGCACAGUCAGUAUGGAGAAUGCUAACAGACAUAGGGAUGACAGGGAUUGCUGU